AUCAAUCACUUUGGAGAUUUUCAUGUUCUCUUUACAGUGACGCGACGAGACAAUCUCUCCCUGGCAAUUCGCUCCAGGAAGAAGAAGACCGAUCGAAAAAUGACCAACACCUCAAGCGCACGCACUGAAACUCGGUUCACCGCCAUGGACUUCGUCUGAACUGCCCCUCCAUCGUCGCGGUCGCCGUCGUUUCUCUUGGGAUGACUUCACUUCUCUCUCCUCUCUGGCGACCACCGCUCCACUCUCCCCCUCCUCCGAGCUACUUCGGGAGACCGACCAGCUCCGUCGGAUCAGCCGAGUUCGGAGUUUCGUCGCGCUUCGGCCCCAUCUCGAGGCGGAAAUGUUUCUGGCCCGAGCCUCCGCCGGAUUCCCUGAGGACCCGACGCGGACGCGAGUCGGUGGACCUGAAACCGGAGUUCGCGGCUCGAGUUAGGGUUUCUCCGAGCGGUACUCCGUCCGGUCCGCUGUCCCAUAAGGAAGCAGUGCAAGCUCCGGGUUUUGUUGAGUUCAUCACUUCGGAGAGGGUCAAGGUGGUGGCUAUGCUCGCAUUGGCAUUGGCGCUCUGUAAUGCGGACCGGGUGGUGAUGUCCGUGGUUAUUGUUCCUUUGUCGCUUUCUCACGGUUGGAGCCGAUCGUUCGCCGGCAUCGUUCAGUCGUCGUUCCUCUGGGGAUACUUGAUAUCACCAAUAGCUGGAGGGGCUCUUGUGGACCACUAUGGGGGUAAGGUUGUCAUGGGAUGGGGUGUGGCUUUGUGGUCUCUAGCAACAUUGCUCACCCCCUGGGCUGCUGAAACUUCUUUAUUGUCUCUCCUUGCGAUGCGUGUUUUACUUGGCAUAGCAGAAGGUGUGGCUCUUCCAUGCAUGAACAAGAUGGUUGCAAGAUGGUUUCCUGCGGCAGAACGAGCCAGAGCUGUCAGUAUAGCAAUGGCUGGCUUUACUCUAGGAAAUGCCAUAGGACUCUCCCUUUCUCCAAUUCUUAUGUCCCAAGGUGGAAUAUAUGGGCCAUUCGUUAUUUUCGGAUUGUCUGGGUUUCUCUGGGUUUUGGUUUGGUUGUCUGCAAUAACAAGCACUCCUGACCAGCAUCCUCAGAUAUCGAAAUAUGAGCUAAAUUACAUAAGGAGUGGGAGGCAUGAACCCUCGGAGCCAGUGGCUAAAAGCAACACAAGUAGCAUGAUCCCUCCUUUUAAGCGCAUGCUUUCCAAGAUGCCUACGUGGUCCCUAAUUGUUGCUAAUGCCAUGCACAGCUGGGGUUUCUUUGUUAUUCUCUCAUGGAUGCCAAUCUACUUUUACUCGGCCUAUCAUGUCGACCUCAGACAAGCAGCAUGGUACAGUGCUGUUCCAUGGAGUGUCAUGGCAUUUGUUGGGUACUUAGGCGGUAUGUGGUCAGACUUGUUGAUACAAGGAGGUACAAGCAUCUCUUUGACUCGCAAGCUUAUGCAGUCAAUUGGAUUCAUUGGUCCUGGGAUUGCUCUUAUCGGCUUAACCACAGCCAAGCAACCAUCUAUUGCAUCUGCCUGGCUUACUUUAGCAAUCGGGCUGAAGUCUUUCAGUCACUCUGGGUUUCUAGUGAACUUACAGGAGAUCUCUCCAAAGUAUUCAGGCGUUCUACAUGGAAUGUCAAAUACAGCAGGAACAUUAGCAGCUAUUUUGGGAACAGUUGGAGCUGGUUUCUUCGUUGAAUUGGUCGGUUCGUUCAGAGGAUUUCUGUUGCUUACAUCAAUGUUAUAUGUGCUUGCUGCUAUCUUUUGGGAUAUCUUUUCUUCUGGAGAGAGGAUUAAUUUUGAUGAGACAGAUCUGUCACCACAUUCUGGGUCAACAACAGCUUCAUGAAAUGUACCUUUGCAACUACUGGUUACACAGCCCCAGGCGGCAGAGGUCAAUUCUGCAGGUAUUCAUUGUGGAAGUAUGGUAGAUGCACCUGUAAGCGAAACCUUCCAAUCAUUCAUAUCGACAAGGUAUUAAGUAUCAACAUCUUCUUCCCUCGGGAAAAUUUUUCUCCCCCCCUGUAAAUCCAUGUAAAGAUUCUGGCAUCGAGGAAAUAUAGAGCAUAAGUGUUCCUCU